rnacentral:rRNA from 1 species
AGAGUUUGAUCCUGGCUCAGGACGAACGCUGGCGGCGUGCUUAACACAUGCAAGUCGAACGAUGAUGCUGGAGCUUGCUCCAGUUGAUUAGUGGCGAACGGGUGAGUAACACGUGAGCAAUCUGCCCUUGACUCUGGGAUAACUGCGGGAAACUGUAGCUAAUACCGGAUACUUUCACCGGAAGGCAUCUUCUGGUGAUGAAAGAAUUUCGGUCAGGGAUGAGCUCGCGGCCUAUCAGCUUGUUGGUGAGGUAACGGCUCACCAAGGCGACGACGGGUAACCGGCCUGAGAGGGUGACCGGUCACACUGGGACUGAGACACGGCCCAGACUCCUACGGGAGGCAGCAGUGGGGAAUAUUGCACAAUGGGCGCAAGCCUGAUGCAGCAACGCCGCGUGAGGGAUGAAGGCCUUCGGGUUGUAAACCUCUUUUAGCAGGGAAGAAGCGAAAGUGACGGUACCUGCAGAAAAAGCACCGGCUAACUACGUGCCAGCAGCCGCGGUAAUACGUAGGGUGCAAGCGUUGUCCGGGAAUUAUUGGGCGUAAAGAGCUCGUAGGCGGUUUGUCACGUCUGCUGUGAAAAUCCAAGGCUCAACCUUGGACUUGCAGUGGGUACGGGCAGGCUAGAGUGCGGUAGGGGAGAUGGGAAUUCCUGGUGUAGCGGUGGAAUGCGCAGAUAUCAGGAGGAACACCAAUGGCGAAGGCACAUCUCUGGGCCGUAACUGACGCUGAGGAGCGAAAGCGUGGGGAGCAAACAGGAUUAGAUACCCUGGUAGUCCACGCCGUAAACGGUGGGUGCUAGCUGUGGGCCACAUUCCACGUGGUCCGUAACGAAGUUAACACAUUAAGCACCCCGCCUGGGGAGUACGGCCGCAAGGCUAAAACUCAAAGGAUUUGACGGGGGCCCGCACAAGCGGCGGAGCAUGCGGAUUAAUUCGAUGCAACGCGAAGAACCUUACCAAGGCUUGACAUGUAGAGGAAAAGUGCAGAGAUGCACUCCCCGCAAGGUCUCUACACAGGUGGUGCAUGGUUGUCGUCAGCUCGUGUCGUGAGAUGUUGGGUUAAGUCCCGCAACGAGCGCAACCCUCGUCCUAUGUUGCCAGCACGUUAUGGUGGGAACUCAUGGGAUACUGCCGGGGUCAACUCGGAGGAAGGUGGGGAUGACGUCAAAUCAUCAUGCCCCUUAUGUCUUGGGCUUCACGCAUGCUACAAUGGCCAGUACAGAGGGCUGCAAUACCGUAAGGUGGAGCGAAUCCCAAAAAGCUGGUCUCAGUUCGGAUUGAGGUCUGCAACUCGACCUCAUGAAGUCGGAGUCGCUAGUAAUCGUAGAUCAGCAACGCUACGGUGAAUACGUUCCCGGGCCUUGUACACACCGCCCGUC